AUCCUGGAUAGCUCAGCUGGUCAGCGCGUGGUGCCGGUAAUGCCAAGGUUGCAGGAUUGAUCCCUGUAUGGGACA